rnacentral:rRNA from 1 species
GAGGAACGAGGGAGGCGUGCCUAAUACAUGCAAGUCGAGCGAACGGACGAUAAGCUUGCUUUUCUGAUGUUAGCGGCGGACGGGCGAGUAACACGUGGAUAACCUACCUAUAUUACUGGGAUAACUUCGGGAAACCGGAUCUAAUACUGGAUAAUAUUUUGAACCGCAUGGUUCAAAAGUGAAAGACGGCCUUGCUGUCUCUUAUAGAUGCAUCCGCGCUGCAUUAGCUAGUUGGUAAGGUAACGGCUUACCAAGGCAACGGAGCAUAGCCGACCUGAGAGGGAGAUAGAGCAACCUGGGACUGAAGCAAGGUCCCGACUCCUAAGGGAGGGAACAGUAGGGAAACUUCCGCAAUGGGGGGAAGCCUUACGGAGGAAAGCCGCGUGAGUGGUGGAAGUCUUCGGAUCGUAAAACUCUGUUAGUAGGGAAAAACAUAUAUGUAAGUAACUGUGCACAGCUUGGCGGUACCUAAUCGGAGAACCACGGGUGAAUACGUG